rnacentral:rRNA from 1 species
AACGAACGCUGGCGGCAUGCCUAACACAUGCAAGUCGAACGAAGGCUUCGGCCUUAGUGGCGCACGGGUGCGUAACGCGUGGGAAUCUGCCCUUGGGUUCGGAAUAACAGUUGGAAACGACUGCUAAUACCGGAUGAUGUCGUAAGACCAAAGAUUUAUCGCCCAGGGAUGAGCCCGCGGCGGAUUAGGUAGUUGGUGGGGUAAAGGCCUACCAAGCCGACGAUCCGUAGCUGGUCUGAGAGGAUGAUCAGCCACACUGGGACUGAGACACGGCCCAGACUCCUACGGGAGGCAGCAGUGGGGAGUAUUGGACAAUGGGCGAAAGCCUGAUCCAGCAAUGCCGCGUGAGUGAUGAAGGCCUUAGGGGUGUAAAGCUCUUUUACCCGGGAUGAUAAUGACAGUACCGGGAGAAUAAGCUCCGGCUAACUCCGUGCCAGCCGCCGCGGUAAAAC